CAGAUACAAAUCAAACGUCUGAUCCAGAGGAGACGUCACGUCUAACUCCAGUGUGUGUGAGAGCAGAGGUCAGUCAGCAGGAAUCAUCUGAACAUCAGAAUCCUGAAACACUGGAAGAUAAAACACACCUUCCAGAGACUGGACCUGCUGACUCCACCUCAGAUAACAGACCCACUCUCACC